AGAGUUUGAUCCUGGCUCAGGAUGAACGCUAGCUACAGGCUUAACACAUGCAAGUCGAGGGGCAGCGGGAUUGAAGCUUGCUUCAAUUGCCGGCGACCGGCGCACGGGUGAGUAACGCGUAUCCAACCUUCCGUACACUCAGGGAUAGCCUUUCGAAAGAAAGAUUAAUACCUGAUGGUAUCUUAAGCACACAUGUAAUUAAGAUUAAAGAUUUAUCGGUGUACGAUGGGGAUGCGUUCCAUUAGGUAGUAGGCGGGGUAACGGCCCACCUAGCCAACGAUGGAUAGGGGUUCUGAGAGGAAGGUCCCCCACAUUGGAACUGAGACACGGUCCAAACUCCUACGGGAGGCAGCAGUGAGGAAUAUUGGUCAAUGGACGAGAGUCUGAACCAGCCAAGUAGCGUGAAGGAUGAAGGUCCUACGGAUUGUAAACUUCUUUUAUAAGGGAAUAAACCCUCCCACGUGUGGGAGCUUGUAUGUACCUUAUGAAUAAGCAUCGGCUAACUCCGUGCCAGCAGCCGCGGUAAUACGGAGGAUGCGAGCGUUAUCCGGAUUUAUUGGGUUUAAAGGGAGCGCAGACGGGUCGUUAAGUCAGCUGUGAAAGUUUGGGGCUCAACCUUAAAAUUGCAGUUGAUACUGGCGUCCUUGAGUGCGGUUGAGGUGUGCGGAAUUCGUGGUGUAGCGGUGAAAUGCUUAGAUAUCACGAAGAACUCCGAUUGCGAAGGCAGCGCACUAAUCCGUAACUGACGUUCAUGCUCGAAAGUGUGGGUAUCAAACAGGAUUAGAUACCCUGGUAGUCCACACGGUAAACGAUGGAUACUCGCUGUUGGCGAUAUACUGUCAGCGGCUUAGCGAAAGCGUUAAGUAUCCCACCUGGGGAGUACGCCGGCAACGGUGAAACUCAAAGGAAUUGACGGGGGCCCGCACAAGCGGAGGAACAUGUGGUUUAAUUCGAUGAUACGCGAGGAACCUUACCCGGGCUUAAAUUGCAAAGGAAUAAUCUGGAAACAGGUUAGUCUUCGGACCUUUGUGAAGGUGCUGCAUGGUUGUCGUCAGCUCGUGCCGUGAGGUGUCGGCUUAAG
rnacentral:rRNA from 1 species